GCCUCGAAGGCGGACUACGCUUCCCAGCAUGCUCUGCGGGCGGGGCGGAGCGGGGACGGAACCGCUCCCCUUUUGUUGGUGCCGGCAGGGCCUGGAGGCGGUGGGGGCGGCCCGGUAUGGGCGACCAGGAAGCGCUGCGGAAGAUCAUCACCACUUUGGCUGUGAAGAAUGAAGAGAUCCAGAACUUCAUCUACUCCCUCAAGCAGAUGCUGCAGAAUGUGGAGGACAACUCUGCACGAGUGCAGGAGGACCUGGAGGGGGAGUUCCAGUCGCUGUAUGCGCUGCUGGACGAGCUGAAGGACAGCAUGCUGAUGAAGAUCAAGCAGGACCGCGCCAGCCGCACCUACGAGCUGCAGGCUCAGCUGGCGGCGUGUGCCAAAGCGCUGGAGAGCUCGGAGGAGCUGCUGGAGACGGCCAACCAGACCCUGGCGACGGCCAACAACCACGACUUCGCCCAGGCUGCCAAACAGAUCAAGGAUAGUGUGACGAUGGCUCCCGCCUUCCGCCUCUCGCUCAAGGCCAAGGUGAGCGACAACAUGAGCCACCUGAUGGUGGAUUUUGCCCAGGAGCGCCGCCUGCUGCAAGCCCUCGCCUUCCUGCCAGUGCCGAGCACCCCUGAGAUCGACCUGACGGAGUCACUGGUGGCCGAUAACUGCGUGACGCUGUGCUGGAGGAUGCCUGAUGAGGACAGCAAGAUCGACCACUACGUGCUGGAGUACCGCAGGACCAACUUCGAGGGGCCGCCCCGAGCCAAGGAGGAGCAGCCCUGGAUGGUGGUGGAGGGCAUUAAGGGCACUGAGUACACGCUGUCUGGGCUGAAGUUUGACAUGAAGUACAUGAAUUUCCGAGUGCGGGCCUGCAACAAAGCCGUGGCCGGAGAGUUCUCUGAGGCGGUCACUUUGGAGACGAGAGCGUUCAUGUUCCGGCUGGAUGCCAGCACGUGCCACCAGAACCUGCGCGUGGAGGACUUCAGCGUGGAGUGGGACGCCACGGGGGGAAAGGUGCAGGAUGUGAAGACAAGGGAGAAGGACGGGAAGGGCAGGACUGCGUCGCCCGCCAACUCCCCCGCCAGGGCUGUGCAGUCACCCAAGCGGAUGUCGCUGGGCCGCGCCGGCAGGGAUCGCUUCACCGCCGAAUCCUACACGGUGUUGGGCGACACCUUGAUCGACGGCGACGACCACUACUGGGAGGUGCGGUACGACCGCGACAGCAAAGCCUUCGGCGUCGGGGUGGCGUAUCGCAGCCUGGGCAAGUUCGAUCAGCUGGGCAAGACGUCGGCGUCGUGGUGCCUCCACCUCAACAACUGGCUGCAGGUCAGCUUCAGCGCCAAGCACGCCAACAAGGCCAAGGUGCUGGAUGUGCCCGUGCCCGACUGCAUCGGCGUCUACUGCAACUUCCAUGAAGUGUCCCACGUGUGCCCCAUGUGUGUUCCAUCUGUGCCCCAUAUAUGCCCCUCACGUGCCUUCCUGUGUGCUCCAUAAGUGCCCAUAUGUGUGCCCCCACGUGUGGCUGUGUGCGCCCUACACGCAUGCCUGUGUGCCCACAUGUGCCCCGCAUGCGCCCCCCUGUAUACUCCAUACAUGCUUCUAUAUGUGCCCCACAUAUGCCCCUGUGUGCCCCACACGUACCCCUAUGUGUGCCUCCUCUAUGCCCCACACGUGCCCCUUAUCUGUGCCUCACAUGUCCCACGUGUGCCCUUAUGUGUGCCCCACAUUUGCCCCAUGUGUGCUCCAUGCGGCCCCUUUUGCGUCCCACACGUGUCUCCAUGUUCCCCAUCUUCUCCCCCGUGUGCCCCACAUCUGUCCCACAAACACCCCGCUGUGUGCCCCUGUGUGCCCACAUGUGCCCCUGUGUGUGUCCCUAGAUGUGCCUCAUAUAUGCCCCACAUGCCCUGUGUGUGCCCCACACGAGCCCCUAUGGUGCCCCACGUGUCCCUGUAUGUGCUCCAUACAUUCCCCCUCUAUCUGUGCCCCACACGUGCCCCUCAGUGCUUUCUGCGUGUGCCCCACAGGUGCCCAUAUGUGUGUUUCACAUGUGCUGCUAUGUGUGCUCCAUGUGCCCCCUUCUGUGUCCCAUGUGUGCCCCUAUGUGUGCCCCACACCUACCCAUGUGUGCCCACAGGAUUCCUGUCCUUCUACAACGCCCGCACCAAGCAGCUGCUGCACACCUUCAAGGCUCGCUUUGCGCAGCCGGUGCUGCCAGCCUUCAUGGUUUGGUGUGGCAGCUUCCACGUCUCCUCGGGCCU